GCCCGAGUAGCUCAGGGGAUAGAGCAGCGGCCUUCUAAUCCGCCGGUCGGGGGUUCGAAUCCCUCCUCGGGCA
rnacentral:tRNA from 2 species